rnacentral:rRNA from 1 species
UGAUAUCGACGGGAGCUGGGGAGGCGGCCUGCGGGGGGCGACGGGCCAAGGGAGGAUGGCGGGCGGGCGAGAGGAUUCGGCCUGCAAGUGCUCGGCCGGAUCGCACGGCGGUGUUAUCGGCCCGACGACGAAAGGUGGGACCUGCUCCAGCGCCCCCCCCCUUCCCCCUCUGGAUCCCCCCGCCCCCUUACUCGCCCCCCCCGCCCCCCCCCGUAAUCCGGGCGGGGCCACGCGUUAUCCCGGAAUCAAUUGGGCCUAAACGCGCGCCCAGACGGACUUGGUAACGUCAGAUGUGAAAUCCCAUGGGCUUAACGGCACGGAAGUGCAUUUGUUACUGCCUCGCUAGAGUACGGGAGAGGAAACUGGAAUUCCUGGUGUAGAGGUGAAAUUCGUAGAUAUCAGGAGGAACACCGGUGGCGAAGGCGACUUUCUGGCCCGAUACUGACGCUCAGGCGCGAAAGCGUGGGGAGCAAACAGGAUUAGAUACCCUGGUAGUCCACGCUGUAAACGAUGUUCACUAGGUGUUGGGGGUAUUGACCCUCUCAGUGCCGUAGCUAACGCAUUAAGUGAACCGCCUGGGAAGUACGGUCGCAAGACUAAAACUCGAAGGAAUUGACGGGG